rnacentral:rRNA from 1 species
CGCGUAGGUGGCCUGAUAAGUAGGGGGUGAAAUCUCACGGCUCAACCGGGAGGCUGCCUUCUAGACUGUUAGGCUUGAGCAUGGUAGAGGCUGGUGGAAUUCCCGGUGUAGCGGUGGAAUGCGUAGAGAUCGGGAAGAACAUCGGUGGCGAAGGCGGCCAGCUGGGCCAUUGCUGACACUGAGGCGCGAAAGCGUGGGAGCAAACA